CCCCUAGAUGUCCUGGGCCGCACGCGCGCUACACUGACAUGUUCAACAAGCCUCCUAGUUCGACAGGAUUUGGGAAAUCUUUGAACGCAUGUCGUGAUAGGGAUAGAUCAUUGCAAUUAUUGAUCUUGAACGAGGAAUUCCUAGUAAACGCGAGUCAUCAGCUCGCAUUGAUUACGUCCCUGCCCUUUGUACACACCGCCCGUCGCACCUACCGAUUGAAUGUUUCGGUGAAGAUUCCGGAUAGGACUUUUUUGAUUUAUUUCAAUUUUGUCUUAAAAGCUAUCUAAACCUCAACAUUUAGAGGAAGGUGAAGUCGUAACA
rnacentral:rRNA from 1 species